rnacentral:rRNA from 1 species
UACGUAGGGGGCAAGCGUUAUCCGGAUUUACUGGGUGUAAAGGGAGCGUAGACGGCCAGACAAGUCUGAAGUGAAAAUCCAGCGCUUAACGUUGGAAGUGCUUUGGAAACUGCCGGGCUAGAGUGCAGGAGGGGCAGGCGGAAUUCCUAGUGUAGCGGUGAAAUGCGUAGAUAUUGGGAGGAACACCAGUGGCGAAGGCGGCCUGCUGGACUGCAACUGACGUUGAGGCUCGAAGGCGUGGGGAGCAAACAGG